GACGAACGCUGGCGGCGUGCUUAACACAUGCAAGUCGAACGGAGCGAAUGAAAGCUUGCUUUUAUGAGCUUAGUGGCAAACGGGUGAGUAACACGUAGACAACCUGCCGACAGGAUGGGGACAACAUUCCGAAAGGAAUGCUAAUACCGAAUGAAGCGGAGGAGAGGCAUCUCCCCUCCGUGAAAGAUGGCCUCUAUUUAUAAGCUAUCACCUGUCGAUGGGUCUGCGUCUGAUUAGCUGGUUGGUGAGGUAACGGCUCACCAAGGCGACGAUCAGUAGCCGGUCUGAGAGGAUGAACGGCCACAUUGGGACUGAGACACGGCCCAGACUCCUACGGGAGGCAGCAGUGGGGAAUCUUCCGCAAUGGGCGCAAGCCUGACGGAGCAACGCCGCGUGAGUGAAGAAGGUCUUCGGAUCGUAAAGCUCUGUUGACGGGGACGAACGUGCGAGAAGG
rnacentral:rRNA from 1 species